UCCAGGGGUUGUUACUAUUACCCAAUUUAAUGGUACUUCUUUUAUCUACCUCGGAAGGAUGAAGGGCUGAGUUAACCCUGCCAGGAUUCAAACCUGCAACCCAAGGGUUGAACAGAUUCUAUUGAUGAUGUAUUAGCCCACUGAUAAACUAGCUGCUCAUUGUACAGACUUGUACUGUACAUAGUGAGUAAUACAGCAAGUUCUGUCUAAAUGUGUUU